rnacentral:rRNA from 1 species
AAACUAACAAGGAUGCCCCUAGUAACUGCGAGUGAAGCGGGAAAAGCUCAAAUUUAAAAUCUGGCGGUCUUUGGCCGUCCGAGUUGUAUUCUGGAGAAGUGCUUCCCGCGCUGGACCGUGUAUAAGUCUCUUGGAACAGAGCGUCAUAGAGGGUGAGAAUCCCGUCUUUGACACGGACUACCAGUGCUUUGUGAUGCGCUCUCAAAGAGUCGAGUUGUUUGGGAAUGCAGCUCAAAAUGGGUGGUGAAUUCCAUCUAAAGCUAAAUAUUGGCGAGAGACCGAUAGCGAACAAGUACCGUGAGGGAAAGAUGAAAAGCACUUUGGAAAGAGAGUUAAACAGUACGUGAAAUUGCUGAAAGGGAAACGCUUGAAGUCAGUCGCGUUUGCCGGAACUCAGCCUUCCUUUUGGUUGGUGCACUUUCCGGUAGACGGGCCAGCAUCGAUUUCGACCGUCGGAUAAGGGCUGGGGAAAUGUGGCACCUUUCGGGGUGUGUUAUAGUCCUCAGUCGCAUACGUCGGUUGGGAUCGAGGAUCGCAGCGCGCCGCAAGGCAGGGGUUCGCCCACUUUCGCGCUUAGGAUGCUGGCAUAAUGGCUUUAAACGACCCGUCUUGAAACACGGACCAAGGAGUCUAACAAACCUGCGAGUGUUUGGGUGGAAAACCCGAGCGCGUAAUGAAAGUGAAAGUUGAGACCUCUGUCGUGGAGGGCAUCGACGCCCGGACCUGAAGUUCUCUGACGGUUCCGCGGUAGAGCAUGUUUGUUGGGACCCGAAAGAUGGUGAACUAUGCCUGAAUAGGGUGAAGCCAGAGGAAACUCUGGUGGAGGCUUGUAGCGAUUCUGACGUGCAAAUCGAUCGUCAAAUUUGGGUAUAGGGGCGAAAGACUAAUCGAACCANNNNNNNNNNNNNNNNNNNN